CACUGGGAGUCUACAUAGCGACUUACACAACACGCUCACCAAACUACUUCCUAACACGGUGUAACUACUGCGUCGGGGGUAACGUGCGGUCGGGCAUGUCUCGGCCGUAUGCGAUUCGGAGCGCCAUGCACUCAGUUGCGGUGACGUCGGCUGUUCAGGCGCAUCAUGCGGGACUUUGCUAUACGGCAACGCCAUCAGCAACUACACCCGCCACGACGACGACAACAACGAUGACGACGACAACAGUGGGCCGACGACAACGCAGCGAACAGUGAAAGCGCGACGACGGCAGUGACGACUGCGCCACCACCGCCGAUUACGACAACAACGUCAACGACACAGCCGACAACGACGACAACGACGACGACACAGCCGAC